UACGAAGGGGGCUAGCGUUGCUCGGAAUUACUGGGCGUAAAGCGCACGUAGGCGGAUCCUUAAGUCGGUGGUGAAAUCCUGAAGCUCAACUUCAGAACUGCCUUCGAUACUGGGGACCUUGAGUUCGGGAGAGGUGAGUGGAACUGCGAGUGUAGAGGUGAAAUUCGUAGAUAUUCGCAAGAACACCAGUGGCGAAGGCGACUCACUGGACACGUAUUGACGCUGAGGUGCGAAAGCGUGGGGAGCAAACAGG
rnacentral:rRNA from 1 species